CUUUUCAGUGACUCUCGUUUUCGUUUGUUUUGGGGCUCUCGCACGCGCAGCUGUCUCGCUUUCCCUCUUUGAGUCUGUGGGUACUCUCUGCUCUCCCUGAUCACUGAUACGCACGCACACACACACACACACACACACACACACACACACACACACACAGCCAUACACACACACAGACACGCCGAAAGAGGGCACUACCUCCUGUCUCCCUCUCCCCCGCCCUUCUUUCUCUCAUUCAAGUUUUAGCCCAUCAGCAUGGAGCCGAUACGGCCAGCGCAGCGGCUGGAGCGCCCCCCGCUGCCGCCCCUCUCGCCGCAGCGACACGACGAUAUCGAUGACGAGGACGAGGAAGACGACUCGGACGUGUCCACCGAGCUCGAGAGUGAAAUGCUGAGCCAGCACUUCAAGAGCCUUCCCUGGCCCUUUCCCGCGGUGAACGUGCCGCUGGGCAUCUCUCCGAGUGCUUCGAUGCGACGUGGCGUAUCGCCCUUGGCGAGUGAUCAACAAACGUGCAUGUCUGGCUCGUCCUUGACGGCGUGGUCUGGCGCGCAGGUCGUCUGCGGCGGUGGCGCCGGUACGGCCUGGGCGUCAGGGCUCGGGCUCAACAAGUUUGACAAACUGCGCGUGUCGCCCCGCAGCGGCGUCAGCGGGGCCUCGCCACGCGCCGGCUCCGGCGCAGCCAGCAAAGGGCUGGCCACCCCCACGGCUGUGGCACGCCCUGUGACAACUACCACGGCCGAAACUACCGCCCCCAUUGCAACGGUAACAUCUUCGAAGUGCGAGCUGACGUCUGAAAAUUUGGACCGGCUGCGUGAGACUCGAGCCAUGUCGGAUGCGUUGCCGGUAGCGCACUGGAAAGCGAGUACACAGACGACAAGGGUGUCUCCACCGGCGGUCAUCGCGGUCAGCCGAGCGCGUAGUGACUGCGCUGCUGGGGCGGGUGGCACACGAAUGACGCGCGCGGCGGCACUGCUGAAGCAGCAGCCAGUGCUAGCACGGCAGCCGAGACAGCGCAGCGCCAAUAAUAGCGGUGCUCGUGCGUUAGCCGAUGUACCAGCACGCGCAUCAUCGACGGCGACUGCAGCGAAGUGCGACAACGGUUUCAAUACAAGCGGGGACGGGCCACGGGAGGGGCAGGGCGCCACUGUAGGGGCAACGCCAACAACGAGCUCGACCUCGCCUCUCGCUGUGGCACAGGGCUGCGAGCCCAGCCCCCUUGACGAACCCACCACAUUGCGUGCAGAGGAAAAGGACGACAGCAACGGAUGUCGCGGAACCGCGAGCGGCGCUGGAGCGGCCGUCACAACAGCCAUUCAGCUUCCUUCCGCCGCCUCACCACUAGCGAGGGCGUCGUCCCCACGCAUAUCGCAUUCUAGGAGGAAGAGGGAUAAUGUCCCCUCGCCGCUGAAGCGCCAGCGCCUCGCCUCUGCGAAGAAUCGCUAUCAGGGUCAGAUCUUGCUGCUCGAAGACUGCACGGAGACCAGUGGUGACGCAACGAGCCCGUUCUCAGUACGAGAGCGGGCGCCGAGGUCUGCCACGCCGGCUGGUGCGAUCAACGCUGGUCUUCACACUUGUGCCACUAGCAGCGUUGUGCCCGCGACUCGUGCGACUCUAUCGACGCCAUCGGACACUAAGAAGAGCGUGCCGGGAGCGAUAUCGCCGUGCAUGACAAGCGGGCGCGGCGUCCAGGCUUCACGGCGCAUCUCUGUCACGGCGCCGGCCGCUCACAGCGGGACGCUGUCGCCUCCAAGCAUUCCUCCGUUCGAGAAGGAAGCCGGCCAAGAGAGCAGUGAGGCGGUGCGCGGGACGAACCAGCUGCCCUCGUUUGGCCUUUCCAAGGAGGAGAAUGACCAGGCUGCCGCUGACAUCGACGAUUCGCGGGCUAGCUGUAGCACGCACACAAUGCCGCCGGAGAAUGCGCGGCAACACAUCGUGCACCUACCGAGGUCGCCGCAGACCCGACCGGCUGUUCCCACACCCGUCUCAGAGAAAGCGGGUCGUGACGAGCACGGAGCAGACCUCAGGAGUGUUGAUCAGCGCGAUGACGAGGCUGAAGAGCCUGAGGAAAGAGGUGAAGGUGCGCUGCCGACGCCGGUGCACACGCAUCAGACGACGUCGUUGUUGACCAGUACCAGCACUACCACCUUCUCGCGCCCGCCGCUUCUGUCGCUCACCGCCAUUGGUGUUACAUCCAUCACGUCGGGGGUUCUUCGGUCUGUGACGCAGACAUCUCCGAGGCUAUCCGCCGUUCUCCAGAGAAUCACCUUGCCACACCAGCCGCAGCAGCAGGUGCGCCCCGCCGUCAUCAUUUCUUCCGCCGGCAUGACCGAGCUGCCCCCGUCUCGCACGCCGCUAACCGCCGUGACGACCGCCUCGCCCGGAAACACUGGCGACUCGCACAUCAGCGUAUCGCAGGCGUCUCGGCUGGAUUCAUCGCGGCGCAGCACCGUCAGGACAGGAACUAUGAGGCACAGCACCUCCUGUGACACGCGUAUGCCGUCCUCGGCCGAUUGCCUGCCGAGCGUCGGCAGCACGCAGCCGCCGCUGUCGGUGCGCACCCCCGACGGUGAUGGCGCACUGCGUUGGCGACUGACCACAAGCAGCCGCACAUCCAGCGCCGGCGCCUCUGACCAACGCGCGCGCAGCGGUCGUGCUCAGAGCACCGACUCCAUCUCCUGCGGCUCUACACCGUCUUUGCUACAGGAGGCAUGCACGCCGGCGGCGGCGGUAGAGCACAGCAGUGCGACGGUGCCGUCGUCUCACAGCGGAUCGAAGCCGCCAGCGACGUUCUUCAGCUUGGACGGGCAGACUGGUACAAGCCGGCUGAACGGCAACCAUGUUAGCAGCAGCAAUACGGCUGCCACGCCGACCAAUCCCACCACGCUCGUUCCCGCGGUUCCCGCACCUGCGACGGCAUCUUCGGUGCGCGCCCGUCGUAGCUACAACGCUGACAAGCAGCAGACUGAGGCAAGUGACCCGGCAGCAGUGGAACUCGCCACAACGUCACCCGCCACCAUUGCUGCUGGCAGCGAUGGGAGCGGCAGAGGAUCUUCUGUGCAAGCCGCCACGCGUGUGCGCCGCACACCAGCUCCAGGACGGCAGUUGAGCGGGGGGGGUCGCAUCAACCUCGCAGACCUGCGCGCCUCGCAACCGGUGCACCUUGGCAGUGCUCCAUCCACUUCCUCAGCGGUGAGCAGUACGGUGGCACGUGCGCCGCGUGAUCGACCUUGCACAUUAACACCGCUGGACGGCCGUGUGGGUCACUCACCUUUGGAGGCCGCUGGCGGCGCUGGAAACGGCACCGCUGCGGCGAUGCCGUCUAUGAAGGCGGAUGCUUCGGGGUCCCCCAACACAGUCGUUGUUGCACCUGGGCAAUGAGAACGCGAAGACGGUGCUGGGCAUGUGGCACGUGACCCAACUCGCGAGCUCCUGCGCUGGAAUAUCACAAGUCGACGGAAGUGAUGUUGCCCAAGCCCAGGCGGAGACGGUGUUGGCAACGGCGCACCAGCGGCCGGUGCAUGCGGGGUGCCCGGGUCAUAUGCGGCACCGCUUGCGCAGUCUACCGGCUGUGGCUUUGAGGAGUGCUGGCGGCGCUGCCGCGCCUCCCUCGAACGACCACUCGUCGCCCAAGAAGGGCUGCGUCCUUUUCGACCAUGCGGCAGCGGGGCAACCACUGCAGCAGCAGCAACAUCAGCCAGAGCCGCGCCCACGCGACCGCAUCCGGUCGCGAUGGUUUUCCGUCGACGGAGGAGCUGCAUUGCACCCUUCACAGCCCGCCGGUUGCGUACAGCAGCAACCUCAAAGGCACCGUCUACACAGCGGCCGCUGCGAAUAAGGCAGUCGGUGGCGGCAGGGCAGCAGAGCACUUGUUGCCGCCGUCCUCCAUGCGUGCCGUAGCUGAUCCGGACAGCAACUUGGAAAAGGGAGCGGCGUGGACCACCUGGCCGACUGCCGACGGUGGGACCAAGUCCCACCGGAGCAACAGUGAGUCCGGCGUUGUUGAGCUCACCCAACGAUCCUGGUAUGAUCGGCAGCCGUUGCGAUCAGUUGCAUGUGUCUGCGGCGCGUCGGAGGACGGUGUCGGCGAUCUGUGAGAGCUCUUCAGCUCGAUCGCGUCGCAGCACCAUCCAGCAACGGGAGUGGCAGGGCGGUAUGGGACGACCGUCAUCGCUGCCCAUGCCACCGUGACCGUCUCUUCACGCGACCAGACGCGGCGGCACCGCGGGAGUUUUUGGGCGAUGACGGCGUUGAGGCAAGCCAAGAGCGCUCUUUGGCGCGCGUGCGCACGAACGACAGCGCCUGCUUCACUCGACGUGAGGCUGCCGGAUGAGAGCGAGGAGGGAACGGCGCCGUAGCGCGUCCGCUCCUGCCCUUUCCCUGCCCUCCCUUGGAGUAUACACGCUUGAGUUGUUCACUCCGAUCUUUUCCGUCUUUUCUCUCAGGUGUCUGCCACGAGGCACGCGUGUGCGUCGCUGUCAUCUAUACACACUGACACAGCAGCUUCAUUUCUUUUCUCUCGCUCUCAUCGCUUCCUUGUCUUCAUCGUCUCCCUCAUGUGCGUGUGCAUGUUCCUGGGCUUUCCUUUAUUCUUUCUCUCGCUCUCUCUUGCUUUCACAAUGAGUCUGCACCUGUGUAUACCUCCCUCCCUCCCUCCCUCCCUCUUUCCCUCUCUGUGUGCAUGUACAUGUGCGUCUUCGAUGCUUCGGCUUCUGUUGUUGUUGUUUUACCUGCGCUCUCUCGACACACACAUACACAUGCAUCUCUCUACAUAUUAUGCAUGUAUAUAUAUAUAUAUUCUAGCUUAUGUGUAUCGUGCUAGAUUUUAUCUCGCUCAUCCAUCCAUCCGUCCAUCGCCUCUCCCUCCCUCCUUUCCUUCCCUCGUCAUCUCGCAUAUCGGUGUAUGCCACACUUUUUCUCUGUAUCUCUCACCCUCUCUCUCUAUCUCCGUGUGUGCUGUGGUUCUCUUUGUAUCUCAUCACCAUUCGUUUGUUGUUGCCCAUCUUUUUUAAGCUCCGCUCUUCUCCCCACCCCCUCACCCGACGUCUCUCACACGGAGAGCGGUGACAAGAAAGGCAAGAGCGCGCGUGCGCGCGGCCGUGGGUGCUGGGGAGAUGGAUGGCGGCAGAUCUGCUUCGCACCCUUUCCGCGUCCUCUCUCUUCUCGCUUGCUCUAUCCUUCUUUAUUCGCCUUCUGAGACUUUCCUGCACCCACACCCACAACGAAACGCACACAGACUUACACAUAGACAUACACGCGCGCACAACAAUGAUGUGCGCCGCACACUUAGAGGGUUGUUGGUGAGCGCACGCGUGGGGAAGGGGGGCACCUCUGUCUUUCUUUCGAUCGUCUACCGCGUCGGUAUCCCCAUCUUUCCGCCCCUCUCUGUAUCUGGUGUGCGCUGGGCAUGACUGUAAAAGUUCAUUCGGUGACCAUUGUGCUCUCUCUCUCUCUCUUUCCGUUGUGUUGAUUCUUCUUCCCUUACACAGGCGAUCGUGUUCGAUGCCGCUCUCCUCCCUCCCUCCCCUUCCCGCGCGCAUGACCACCAUCAUCGUUUAUUCUCUCCAGCAUCUUCCCAUCUUCAUUUCUCCGUUUUGCCUCCUGCGUGCUCGCUUGACUAUUCCCAUAGUUCUAUAUCGAUAUAUAUAUAUUUAGGUGUGUGUGUGUGUGUGUGCCCUUCGCCUCGUGUUGUCACGUGCUCAUGAAGACGGAUCCGAGUCAUAUAUACGCACAACUAUCUAUAUACAUACAUGUACGUGCAUGCACAUGAUAUAUAUAUAUAUAUAGAUGCGUUGAAUUUUUGUUGUCUUUCUUCUCUCUCAUCCACAUCCUCCCUCCUCCCUCUCCCCACCACCGUAUCCGGUGCUCUCUCUCAAUUUCUUUUCGCCUUCCCGUUGUUCUUUCCCUCCCUCCUUUGUCGUGAUGGGAUUGCCCCACCGUCUUGAAACACCGCACCGCCGCGGCCGCCCCCAUGUUCCUCUCGUGUUUUAUCGCCUUCUCUCUCCCCGCGCCUUGAUCACUGACCCGCACCCGCUCGCUUGCAUGGUGCGUCAUCGCCGUCCCCCUCUUUCUCACCUCACUUCCCUGCUCCAGCUGGACCCGAAUAACAAUCUUCCUUCUCUUGCGAAUGGGAUGACGAUGACGAGUAUGCAUCGCGCCGUGCUUCGUCGACGCUCCCUUCCCUCCCUCCCUCGCUGUGCCCCCUCUUGGCUAACAGGCGCGGUGCAGGACACGCCCAUAGAUGUUUGUGUCGACUUUUCUCUUUUCUCGAAUAUGUAGGUAGAGAAGAGCAGUGCACCAUUCUGUGAUACUUCGCUGAGAGCUACGCGGGCUUGGUUGUGUUGCCGGCGGUGCGUCUCAUGCACGUCUGUGGAAGGUGAGAGGGGGGAGUGUGUAGAUGGGCGGCGGGCAGGGAGUGCUUGCAGGCUCAGGGCAGGGGAGCUGUGCGCGCGGAGAGUGUUGGUGAGCGGUGGUGCUGCGAUGGGGGGAGGAAUGACGGCGUGGCGGUUGUCGUUGUGGGACACACACUCUGCUUCGCGUGCUUGUGCGUGCGUGUCUUCUAAAAAAAAUGUUUUUUUUUUUUUCUUGUGUGUGUGUCUUCCCUUGACCGUCUUCGUCCUUCAUCACUCCGAAAGACAAGCGAAAAGUCGUUGUGUGUGUGUGUGUAGUCGCCAUCCUGUACUCUUCUUCUUGUGUACGUGCGUUGGUGUGUGUUUGUGUAGGGUCGGCGAUUCGCCGCCGCCGCCGCUGCUCUCUAUCUCUGUGUGUGCCUGUUGUUUGUUCCUCCUCCCCCUUCCCCUUUUCAUUGUGUGUUGUUACUCCAAGCGAUGCUUUCAUGUUUUUUUUUUCUCUGCGCCUUUUCAGGCCUAUGUGCGUAUGCACAUGAGUCUCUUGUGUGUGUCUUGUCUGCAUUCUUAUUCUUCUUUUCCGUCGCCUUUUACAUCUGUCUGUCCCUUACCCACCCCCCAUCCCCACACACUCCCCUAACCAACCCCCUAUGCUACUAAUCUGCCGCCCAAAACCGAGGAGCUGGCGCUUACUCUCUAUGUAUGCUUGACCGUUUUUCGUUUCUGUGCAUCCUUUCUUUCCUCGAUCUCUUGUCGCUAGUGGACCUGUAACUGUUUUGAUGGGGUGGAUGAUGUGUCUGGCGGCUCCUGUCGCGCUGCGUCUUUGGUAUUUGCUUGCUUUAAUGUUGGUUAACUUCGCCUGCCGCCGCCGCCGCCGCCGCCGCCGCCGCCGCCCCCCUCCUCUCCGUCUCUUUCUGUCUCUGUGUUGCUCCCUCUCCUUCGCCUUGCUUCUGAUUUUCCCUAAUGGAUCGCUUGUGGGCCUCGCGUGGCGUGCAUGUGUGCGGACACGGGUGGCGAGGUCCCUCGUCCGCUGGCGAGCCGUGUUGAUGGGCAGGCGUAUGCAAGGGGAAUAGGUUGAGAGGGAGCGAGGAGGAGGAGGAGGAGGAGGAGGAGGGGGGGGGUGUAAUAGGCGGAGAGGUGGGCGCACACGCACCCACGAACCCAAGUCACCCUAAUCCUUUGGUGGACGCUAUCCUUGCUGCAUUGUUCUUCCUCUUGUACAUCAGAGCCGUUACCUCGCCACAGACACAGAGGCGCGCGUUACCACGAAAACAGUUUCGGCAACAACAACAAAGCCAAAGGGCGAAGGGAAGCACCGCCGCCACACACACACACACACACACACACACACACACGUACACGUACACACGCGGAUACCGAUGGCUUGGGUGGGGGUGGGACAGACAUCCGGAGCCGAGGCAACAC
rnacentral:misc_RNA from 1 species